rnacentral:ncRNA from 1 species
GUUUGAACAAGGCAAACCAUGGCGAAAGCAUGGGACGCAAAGCCACCGGCCUACGGACGCUGAACAAUCGUAUCAGUCAGUCACGGUAGCGGGGUUGCCAGC